rnacentral:lncRNA from 1 species
GACGGUGGUGGUGGUGAUAAUGGUGAUGAUGAUGAAGACAUUAAUGGUGAUGACGAUGAUGGUUAUAAAGUAACAUUGCGGAGCUAAGCAUGAUGUAUGACACAUGCAGUAGCUCAUUCAUAUUCUUGGCAAUCUUGGGAGGUAGAUAUAACUACCUUCUACUUUUUAGAGGAAGAAACCAGUGCUUUGAAAGGUUGAACAACCUGCCCACAUCACUUGACUGGCAAGCAGCACAGCCAGUCACCAUGGACCCACAGCCUCAGCCACCAACUUCUCUCUGUCCUGCCUGCUGGAGUAAUACAACUAAUUCUUUUGCCCCUGUCUCCUUGGAUGUCAGGCUCCUCCUACUACCCUCAUGCAAGGUUUAAAAUCACCAGGGGGGAAAAAACCCCAACAACUUCCGAAUGGAAGAGGGAAUCAUUUCUCCUCCUGACUACACAAUCGUCUUACAAGAGCCUUAUUCAGAACAGCUGGCAGGAAAUUAUAUUUUCACAAACUGAUUUAUUGCACAGCCCGAACACUGCCCGUUUCAAUAGGACUUCCGCAAGCAGAUUUAGACUUGAGUUACACGGUGGGUCCAUUCAGAACCAUUUUCCUCUACGACGAAACGUUUUCAUGACAAAAGUGGCCCAAAUCAACGCACUGGUGCUCCUUAGAAUUCUCGGCCUGGCAGCGAACAUGCUUCAGGAGGCCUGCGUGGCUGUCGCCUGCAUGGGCCUUCCCAGUGAGCUGUGUUUGUUUUCUGAAGCGUGCUUUAUGUGGGCCCAGCCACAGGACACAAUUGCUUCAUUUCUAUUCUCGGCAGUGGCCAUGCCUACAUUGCAACCGCCUGCCUGGGCCCACACAAGAUUUCCAGAGAAAUGAGCAUGACAUUAAACACCCCGUUUUACAUGAGGAGAAAGCAGCAAAAGGCAGUCGGGCCUGGCAGCCUCCCUCCCUCCCCAGAGAUGUCUGAGUGGACCGGAAGGCCUCAUGGGGGUCACCUUUGCCUCAAGGAAUAAUUCCCCUCCAGGAAAGUCCCCGCCAGCAUCCUUUAUAAAAAGACUUCCAUUGCCGGUGAGGGAGUUAUUUCUGAGACAGCACUGCCAACAAAUGUAACCCUUUGGGAAAAGUGCUAAGUCAAGCUGGGAUUCCCCACCGAGGGCUCCGGAGCCUCUGGCGUCUCUCAGGAAAAGGCAAUCUUGGUAUAAGCAUAUUAAUGUCGCUUUUCUUGAACCGGAAAAGGGGAGUGGGAGGAGGGUUCUCCCAAUUUUACCAGAAUAAAAAUGCCCUGAGGAAACA